CAGUCGCCGCGGGAAUACGAAGGGGGCUAGCGUUGUUCGGAUUUACUGGGCGUAAAGGGCGCGUAGGCGGACUGAUAAGUCAGGGGUGAAAUCCCAAGGCUCAACCUCGGAACUGCCUUUGAUACUGUUUGUCUUGAGUUCGAGAGAGGUAAGUGGAACUGCGAGUGUAGAGGUGAAAUUCGUAGAUAUUCGCAAGAACACCAGUGGCGAAGGCGGCUUACUGGCUCGAUACUGACGCUGAGGCGCGAAAGCGUGGGGAGCAAACAGGAUUAGAUACCCGCGUAGUCCCUGUCUCUUAUAC
rnacentral:rRNA from 1 species